rnacentral:rRNA from 1 species
UACAGAGGGUGCAAGCGUUGUUCGGAAUUAUUGGGCGUAAAGCGCGUGUAGGCGGCUUUGCAAGUCGGAUGUGAAAUCCCUCAGCUUAACUGAGGAAGUGCAUUCGAAACUGACGGUCUUGAGUACGGAAGAGGGUCGCGGAAUUCCCGGUGUAGAGGUGAAAUUCGUAGAUAUCGGGAGGAACACCAGUGGCGAAGGCGGCGACCUGGGCCGAUACUGACGCUGAGGUGCGAAAGCGUGGGGAGCAAACAGG